AUUGAACGCUGGCGGCAGGCCUAACACAUGCAAGUCGAGCGAGCGGCGGACGGGUGAGUAAUAUAUGGGGAUCUGCCCGAUAGAGGGGGAUAACUCCUGGAAACGGUAGCUAAUACCGCAUACUCUCUGAUGAGCCCAGAUGGGAUUAGCUAGUAGGUGGGGUAAUGGCUGACCUAGGCGACGAUCCCUAGCUGGUCUGAGAGGAUGAUCAGCCACACUGGAACUGAGACACGGUCCAGACUCCUACGGGAGGCAGCAGUGGGGAAUAUUGAACAAUGGGCGCAAGCCUGAUGCAGCCAUGCCGCGUGUAUGAAGAAGGCCUUAGGGUUGUAAAGGACUUUCAGCCGGGAGGCGUUACCGACAGAAGAAGCACCGGCUAACUCCGUGCCAGCAGCCGCGGUAAUAC
rnacentral:rRNA from 1 species